rnacentral:lncRNA from 1 species
ACAACCUCUGAAGAUAGCUUUGACAUUAGAAUAGUUCAACUCCAAAAUUCACCUGACACAAAUGUGAAUGAUCUGAGAUGAUUUAGAGUUAUUCAAAGUAUUUAAAUUGAAUCAAUAUGCUAUAAUGUUGACCAAUUGAUCAAUGCAAUUGAUGAAUCAUAUGCACAACUAUCUCUGCAUACUUUAAACAAAGUAUUCAUGAGCUUGCAAGGCUACAAUGCAAGAAAUCACGAAAGAAAUGGGCCACAAUGCCUACAGGAUACUACGUAUGAAAAAAGAUGCACUAGAGAGUGGAUCAUCAACUACUCCUAACUAACUUGGAAGUGCCACUUAACUUAGUAGAAGAGUGCAUAAUUUACAUGUUUGAAAAUGCUUCAAUGCUUUGUGUGGAAGGGCUAAUGGAUCAGUUCCUACAAUGAGGAAUUUAGAAAAUGAUGUUAGAUAUUUUUGUACAGACAGAAAACAUGUAAAGAUGCCUAUUGUUUUUUUUUUUUUUUUUUUUUGUUAGAAGGCUACUAUUUUUUAUGCCUAGAAAAACAUGUGUGUAGCAACAUAGUCUACUUGUUUAAGGUGUAAAAGAUGAUAUUUUUUUUAAUCCAUUAACUCUACAUGCUUUACAUAUGAAUGCACCAAACAAGCACAAAACAUAAUCCAAACCUCACAUAUGAAGAUAACAGCCAGCCAACAACCACAAAACACAAUCCAAACCUCACAUAUGAAGGAAGAACCGGCCUACAACCACAACACACAAUCCAACAGGGUCAUAACCUUAAAUCAUUGAAAAUUUUCAAAUAAAAUGUAGGCAAAAAUAAUCAUUUCAGCAUAAUUUCAAUACCGACGACAUAGUACUAGCCCACGUACCCCAAAUCGUAACAAUAUAAUCGAGUGUAGGGCAUUCAAGUAUCUCAAAUAUAGUGUGAUAAAAAAAUUAUUAUUUUAAUUUAAUUCAACCUACCUACAAUAAAAAAACAAGUGUAAAAGGAAACUCCUCACAAAUUUGCAGAUUAGGGGUAGCAAGAUUCACAACAUGUAUCACUUGUAGAAGGCUUCGCUCAAACCACCUGCUCCUCAGUCUUGGGGACAUCCAUCCAGCCUUCAUAAGUGCUUGCCCAUAUCGAUUCGUCUACUAUGUCGUCGAGAGAUAUGUUGGACCAUGGUGGCAGUAAGUCGGCGACGAUGAGGUCGCUCAUAUCGUCAUCUAACCCCAAAGAAUCGAGGGUCGUCGAUGGAGGAUCGGAGCUUGUCUUCUUUUUCGUCGUUGCGGCGGACGACGGAUGAUGGAUUUGGGCAGGUUUGCACAGAGAAGGGGUUGCACCGACAGAGAAUUCGAGAGAGAAGUGUAAGAGGCGGUUGUAUUAGAGUGAAGCAAUAAAUUAAAAAU